CCUACGGGUGGCAGCAGUGGGGAAUAUUGGACAAUGGGCGAAAGCCUGAUCCAGCCAUGCCGCGUGUGUGAAGAAGGCCUUCGGGUUGUAAAGCACUUUCAGUGGGGAAGAAAGCCUUGGGGCUAAUACCCUCGAGGAAGGACAUCACCCACAGAAGAAGCACCGGCUAACUCCGUGCCAGCAGCCGCGGUAAUACGGAGGGUGCGAGCGUUAAUCGGAAUUACUGGGCGUAAAGCGCGCGUAGGCGGUCUGAUAAGCCGGUUGUGAAAGCCCCGGGCUCAACCUGGGAACGGCAUCCGGAAUGUGCGGGCAAAGGGGCAGGAGAGAAGGGAAAAAGGCCGGGGGGAGGGGUGAAAGGCGAAGCGACCGGGAGGAAGACAGGGGGAGAAGGAGGCCUUCAGGACUGAAACUGACGAGGAGGUGGGAAAGCGUGGGUAGCAAACAGGUUCAGAGACCCUGUUAUUC
rnacentral:rRNA from 1 species